UUUUUUUUUUUUUUGUACAAUGCCUCAAGGAUUAUGAGAGAGAUUUGCCCCUGUGAGUGAAAUCCGUUUUGUAACUCAUCAGAAAAUCUUUAACCUAUGAGCUAAUUCUUAUAAUCUCUAUAAGCCAUUAGACUGUGUCUUUCCACCUUCUGGAUCACACAGUUAUACAAUAAGCUAAAAUAAGUGGUCUGCAAAUUUGGUUAUAACCCAUUGCUAACUUUAAGUGGUGAUUUUUACCUCCCUGUGAAAAUCUGAAUGAUGAAUAAGAACUGUUGCUUGUUUGGAGAAGUUGCUUAUUUCACAGGACACAGCUGUUAUGCCUCAUGUUAAACUGUGAAGAGCUGCAUCAGAAGGUCACCUUCCAGAUCCAUCCUUCCCACUUUAAAAAGAAAAUACCCAGAGAAGACAACAAGGAUGUGGCUUGACUUUCAAGGCCAUCCAGUGAGAUAAAAGAGCUUCUACAGCAUACAUACAGAAAAGUAUAAAAAUAUUAAGAGUAUAGUUCAAUGAAGAAACACUGUGAAGGAAAUGGAUCAAAGAAGACUUUACUGAAGGAGCUGUCAGCCUACAAUGAAAUGUUUUAGGGGGAAAAGGAGGCUGGUGAAGGGACUGCCAUGAGACCAAAGUAAGAAACUUGUCAUAUGUCCCCCAGAGUUUGAAGAACACAGAGAUUGUUACCUAAUUCUCACCCAAAAGGGUAUGAACCGAGGGACUGUAUGGAGCUGCCAGAGGAAGAACUGAGAACUGUGGCUGAGCCAGCAGCAUUCCUUCCAAUGGUGGAAAGGGUGUUUGCUUUCCAUGGACCAAACUGACAUCACAGAGGGCCAUCAGACCAGAACCAUCUUCAGAGGACCCUGCUCAAGAGGACCCUGCUCAAGAGGACGAGCGAGACCCCAGCUCCCUGGAACUUCUUCAUCUUGCAAAACCAAAACUCUAUAUCCAUGAACAACAACUUUUCCACCUCCUUCCAGCCCCCUGGCAACCACCAUUCUACUUCCUAUUUCUAACAGUCUGCCUACUUUAGAUGCCUCAUAUCAGUGGAAUCAUGCAGUAUUUGUCUUUUUGUGACUGGUUUAUUUCAUUUAGCAUAAGGUUCUCAAGGUUCAUCUAUGUUGUAGCAUGAUUAUCCAAAUUUUAAAUCAAACUUAUGAAAUCAACUUGAUGUUUUAAUUUAGUUUUUUGAAAAUAUUAUGAAACCUCAUUAAAUAUAUUUAUAAAAGUAAAGUUACUCACAAUUUUUACAAGCCAUGAAAGUGGGCCCCUCAGAUCCCCCUUCAAAGAGAAAAAUGGCCAUGAAGUGUGCAGCUAUCUACAGUCUUGAGCUACAGAGACUUUAGGAUUUACCUGAGUGUUCAAGCUGAGGCUCCACUCUUCCCAGGGAGGUAUUGGAGGCUGCAAGGCAGGGGUAAGAGAACCAAACCAUUUCUGCUCAAUACAGGACUCUUCUACUGGCAGUCUUUGUGCCUGAGCUCCCUGCGGGGUUGGCCAACACUUUUUCAGAGAUGUAUUGCAAUCUGAGGGUCCUCCUACCCCAAUUCCCCUCCUUCCCUCUCUCCCUUCACAAGUGUCAGAUACUUGUGGUCUGAAGGCUUCUCAUGCCCACUCCUCUUCCCUCCUCCUUUUAUCUUUCAUGAGCAUUUCCCAGAUAAAUCUCUUACAAUUCCGACUCUGUCUUGCCAUGUGCAUUCCGGAAAACCCAAACUGGUACAAUGUUCUAGCAUUCUGUUUCCAUUUAGUUGACAAUGUGAAGAAUUCAUAUUGCACUUUGCUCAUGUUACAACAGGCCUACAUAUCUACAGAUUUUUUAAGUAAUAAUAUUCCUUGGCCACCAUAUACAAUUUUUGUGAAUAAUGUGCUCUGGAACCACAGAUUGGAACGUGAGGAAAAGUAAGAACAUGGACACUUGGCUCUACUGAAAAAUAUUUUAUUGUGCAAUAAUGUAUUGCAUUUAGGUUAUCUGAGAGGAAGCAUUCAACAUAUUAAUUGAUUUUAUCUUCUCUUUUCUAAGCAUUUCUGCUACACAAAUUCUCACAUCAAAGGUUCUUAAAAGUACAAUUCUAUAUUUAUUUUGGUUUCAUCAUAAAAAGUCCACUACCAGCCAAGAUGGAGUAACAGAAACCAUAUUUACCCUCUCACCUUAAACAACUAGAAAAAAAUGGACAAAAUAAAUGAAACUAUUUUCCAUACUGGAGAACAGGCAGCAGGGCCUUGCUCUCUGAGAGAAAAAAACCAAAAACUAAAAAGGGAGGCCUACAGUUGCACCAGUUUACUCAUUGGAGGCAGUUUCUAGGCUGCAGUACAAAAAGGGGAAAUCCAAACAGACCCCAAAAGUCUUGCUGGGUUGCAAAGCAGGUAUUGUCCAAGGCAAGUAGAAUUUUAAAAACAAAUUACCAAAAAAGAGGGAGCUUCUGAAAGAGAACAAGCAAGCUCCAGAGAUCUACAGAGGAGUGUGCUCAAGUAUUUGGCUGAGUACUAUUCUGUGUGUGUGAAAGGAAACUACCCAAGGCCAGCAAAGGAACCACUGGAAAUGAGAAGGCCUAACGAUUCCAAGAGCUCACACAGGGCUGAGAAUGGUUUGUGUUGCACAGGCCUGAGUGGAAAAGUCCUGCAUGACAUGGGCAUUGGAUAGAGUCCUCAAAAGUAUGCCACUUUAGUUGGAGGGCUAAAUUAUCCUAGACUGAAUACAGCUAUGGACCUGCCCUAACAAAGAUUAUAAGAAAGAUUUGAAAGAAUCCAACUGAUUCCAAGUAACUGUGUGCCAGAAGAAAAUGUAACACUAUUUAAAGGAAUACAGCAAAAUCAGAUCUUCAAAAAUGUUCAAUACCCAAUCAUAAAUUAUUAGCAUGCAAAGAAGCAGGAAAAUAUUAUCAAUAACCAGAAGAAAAACUAUCCAUGAAGCAAAGAAAGAAAAAAGACUAAGAAAUACACACAGCAUUGGUGACUGUAAGCAAUAUUAGGGAUUAUAACGGGUGUAACUGGGGCUUAUAUUACACAUGUUAGAAAAAGUGUGGGGAUAUUUGAUGACAUGAUGAUCAAAUUUUUUCCGAAUUUGAUGAAAACUAUAAAUUUACAGAAUCUCCACAAACCCCAAGCAAAACAUACAUUCAGAAAACAAUGCCAAGACAAAUUAUGGAACAUUAUGUACAGAGAACAAAGAUAAGAAUGACAGCGAACUUCUAAUCAGAAAUCAUGUAAGCUGGAAGAGGCUGGAACAGUAUCUUCAGAGUACUGACAGAAUAAACUUUCAAGCUAGAAUCAUUUACCCAAAGAGAAUAUCAGAUAAUCAAAAGCUGAGAGAAUUCAUUGCCAGUGAAUUUAUAAAGGAAAUAUUAAGUGAAACUUUACAGGCAUAAAGAAAAUAAUAUUCGUUGGUUUUAUCAAAGCAUAUCUUCUAUGAAUUGAUAUAAACUCCUAGAGAUUAAAGUCAUACACACAUAUGUCUUACAUUUUAGAAAGUAUGUAUAGCACUUAGCCCAAUUUUGCCAAAUAAACAAAAAACUCAAUUCUCACCUGUAAAAUUUACUUUCUGUUCAUUAGUUUAAAGAAUUGAG